rnacentral:rRNA from 1 species
UACGUAGGGACCAAGCGUUGUUCGGAUUUACUGGGCGUAAAGGGCGCGUAGGCGGCUUGACAAGUCACUUGUGAAAUCUCCGGGCUUAACUCGGAACGGCCAAGUGAAACUGUCAUGCUAGAGUGCAGAAGGGGCAAUCGGAAUUCUUGGUGUAGCGGUGAAAUGCGUAGAUAUCAAGAGGAACACCCGUGGCUAAGGCGGCUCUCUAGUACGGUACUGACGCUGAGACGCGAAAGCGUGGGGAGCGAACAGG